rnacentral:rRNA from 1 species
UACGGGGGGAGCAAGCGUUGUUCGGAUUUACUGGGCGUAAAGGGCGCGUAGGCGGCCACCGCAAGUCAAUUGUGAAAUCUCCGGGCUUAACUCGGAAAGGUCAACUGAUACUGCGGGGCUAGAGUGCGGAAGGGGCAACUGGAAUUCUCGGUGUAGCGGUGAAAUGCGUAGAUAUCGAGAGGAACACCCGUGGCGAAGGCGGCUCUCUGGGACGGUACUGACGCUGAGACGCGAAAGCGUGGGGAGCGAACAGG